rnacentral:rRNA from 1 species
UACAGGGGGGGCAAGCGUUGUUCGGAAUUACUGGGCGUAAAGGGCUCGUAGGUGGUCAACUAAGUCGGACGUGAAAUCCCUCGGCUUAACCGGGGAACUGCGUCCGAUACUGGAUGACUUGAGUUCGGGAGAGGGAUGCGGAAUUCCAGGUGUAGCGGUGAAAUGCGUAGAUAUCGGGAGGAACACCAGUGGCGAAGGCGACUACCUGGCCUGUUCUUGACGCUGAGGCGCGAAAGCUAGGGGAGCAAACAGG